rnacentral:rRNA from 1 species
UAGGGAAUCUUCGGCAAUGGACGAAAGUCUGACCGAGCAACGCCGCGUGAGUGAGGAAGGUUUUCGGAUCGUAAAACUCUGUUGGUAGAGAAGAACGUUGGUGAGAGUGGAAAGCUCAUCAAGUGACGGUAACUACCCAGAAAGGGACGGCUAACUACGUGCCAG